GACGAACGCUGGCGGCGUGCUUAACACAUGCAAGUCGAACGGUAAGGCCCUUCGGGGUACACGAGUGGCGAACGGGUGAGUAACACGUGGGUGAUCUGCCCUGCACUUCGGGAUAAGCCUGGGAAACUGGGUCUAAUACCGGAUAGGACCACUGCCUGCAUGGGUGGUGGUGGAAAGCUUUUGCGGUGUGGGAUGGGCCCGCGGCCUAUCAGCUUGUUGGUGGGGUGAUGGCCUACCAAGGCGACGACGGGUAGCCGGCCUGAGAGGGUGACCGGCCACACUGGGACUGGGAUACGGCCCAGACUCCUACGGGAGGCAGCAGUGGGGAAUAUUGCACAAUGGGGGCAAGCCUGAUGCGGCGACGCCGCGUGAGGGAUGACGGCCUUCGGGUUGUAAACCUCUUUCAGCACCGACGAAGCGCAAGUGACGGUAGGUGCAGAAGAAGGACCGGCAAACUACGUGCCAGCAGCCGCCGUAA
rnacentral:rRNA from 1 species